UGGGUAAACACAGAGUUGCGUUUAGAAGAUGCGCAUCCUCUUUUGUUAGUUAUGAACUUCUUAGACUAAAACUAUCGUGUGGCUCUGGAGACGACCGACACAUCAAAUGAGUAUUGUCUCAGCAGUAGUUCAUUGCAGUUUGUUUGUAAGUUACGUCUGUAGGACACUAACAACAAGAACAGGUGCAAUGCCAGUGUCCCUUACAGGGAAACAAUGAAGUGGACUUACAGUUGCGCUCCAGACAAGGGGUAGGAGGGAGUGUCCCUCUUCUCAACAACAAUAAAAAGUUAAGUAACAGCACUGAAAUUAGUAACCCUGCAUUUGGUCGUUAAAGCUUUAGAAGAAGCCCAUCUCCUUUCUGAUGGAAUGCCCGGACCCCAGUUUGCCCGCCGUUGUGCUUUCUUUGUUUUUAUUUUGCUCCACACAAAGGGCGGGACUGCCAGCCCUACUAAGCAAGGCGCGGUCACCAGAAUCCCUUCACACGUGUAGACAAAGGGAGCGCACAACAAAGCAGCAGCUGCAGCAGCCCUGCUGGCCACAGGCGUUUGGAAGUGGGAUCGAGGCACCCAGAAAGCAAUCAGUCCCACUCUGAGGUUGCAGAAGUCUCCACUUAACGGUUUAAAAGCGGGGUAAGCGAGCCUAGAUGUGGUGGGACAGGAGCGACAAGAGUAAAGUUGUAAACUUGUGAGGUGCACUGGUGCACUCCCUGUUGCUGUUCCAAUUUGGUGCGUCAGCUCUAAGUUUCAUCACAAAGCGAUGCGGAUUACUCCUUUGUUCUUGGAGAACCUUUGAUAGACACACCGAGUGGGAGAGUGUUUGGGACAGGGUCCGAGACUGUUUAACCUGCUAUCCAAAGUAAAGCUCCAUAGAACAAAGACGUACAUGGGUGCAAGGUGGGAGUACUUCAGUUGUGGUGAGUGCAUGAUCCUAAGAAACUUUGAAAAGUGGCAAAGUUAGGUGUCUUUAGCGUGGCAGCAGUUUACCACUUGGGCUGGUAAAAAAAACAUACACUGAAGGUCCAGUUGCAAAGACCUCAGACCAAAAUGUGGAAUAAAAUAAAUAUAUCGACGGAGUCACAUUUAUCCAGAAUGGGGGAAACAGAAACAAAAACCUACCAUCACAAAGACACAACGGGUGUGACAGGAAAUCGCAGUUUACAACAGUUUUUAAAUGCUUGUUUUGAGUUGGUAUCUGCUUGUUUUACUCCUUUUUUGUCUCUUUGGAUGCCAUGGAAAAUGCUUUUUGCUUUGCCAUCAAAUUCUGCAAGAAUCCUCCUUUCAGCUCCUUUCUUUGGCUCGGAGGAUGCGGGCGCUGCUGUUGAACUGAUGGCUGUGCAACAGGUAGCUGGUGAGUUGGGACUGCUGCUGCUCUUUUGUUCUCCAGCUCGCGCCUUGACCGGGCUUUGUUCCAGCACAGAGAAGUGCAACUCACCCAACAACUCUUUUAUGAUGGAAUUCCAGAAUUAGCAAGGACUACGAUUUUGGAAUGCAUUGGUCUAAUUCUUGACAUAGUCAUCAGAUGUGGCAUGUAGAAGAAUAUGCUGAAUAAAAUCAGGAUUUCUUUCAUUCUAUGUGCACAUGAAGUGUUUCCAAAAGACAUAUAAAGCAUAGCUAAGAGACAAAAAAGAAUGAGUGCACUGCAGAAACAGCUGAGUAGAGGCCUUCCACUGGAAAUUUCUGGGGAAAAAAAGUGCUUCUGCAGUUGUUCAGCAUUUGCACUUUCAAUAGCAUUUAACUUUCAAGAAGACACCUGCAGCAAUGUUGUUUUUGUUGAAUGCUGCAAAGGAACCACUCUCAUGUCUUUGAAAGUGACACAGAGGGAGGACACCUUCUGUGCAAAUGAUCCUGGAGACACAAAUCAAGGUUAUGUUUAGAGGGAAUGAAGAUUUUUAGUUUCAUGGAUUAAUAGUACGCCACAUGGAGAUAUGAUAUUUUGCUUACCACUGUGUACCUCAAAUCUUAAAUUCUAAUCAAAGACGUCAUACAAAUUGCCUACAUUUUUAGAAGAAAGCAUAGCGAGCUUUACUGAGUUUCCAUACCACCACCAAAGAGUAACAGAUUAUCGAUCUGUCUGAAGCAUGGAGUCCUAAAGUGCAUCCUUGUGCAGAAAGGCAUAUUUUAGCCCUGAGAUACAUUUACAUAUAUGUAUCCCAAGUUGGAGUUUAACCUAAUAUCAUUUGAAACAAAGGAAAUUGUGAAAGUUAAAUCAUCAGGUUUCACUGAAUGGGAUACGGGAUUUCUUUCCUUCUUACAUUUCGUGCGUGUUGGAUACUUUAUAUGUAAGCCUUGCAUUUGGAAUUAUAACUUGUUAUCUAGGAAAUUAAUCCUUUCAGAUUUGCAUCAUGACUGCAAAGUAUAUUGAAACAAACUAUGCAGGUGAUCCUUUUGCCAUGGAUUAAGGACAGGAGAUACACUAAGAUUAUUUACUGUUCCAUUAAAUAAUGAUAUCCCUGUUUGUCAUCAUGUACAUACACGUGGAUCUUUAACAUUUUCAUUGAGUAUCACAAGCUCAGAUGGACCCUUGGUUUCACAUCUUAUCUGGAAGAUAACAACUUGGGAACUCAGUAGGCGGGAUAAUCAAUACUACAUUGUCAUUACGGGAAUGUAAAUGUAAAUAUCUAUUGUGAGAAAAGAGCCAAAAGUCAUCUGAUACUCUGACAUCUAAGGUACUUCUUACAAUAUUGUCGUAUCCCUGAUUUCAGACAGCAGUCAUGGUACUCCAUGCACUACAUGUAUUUAA